UGGGAUGUGGCGCAGCGGUAGCGCAGUAGACUGUUAAUCUAUUGGUCCGGAGUUCGAAUCUCCGCAUCCCAGCCA
rnacentral:tRNA from 1 species